rnacentral:rRNA from 1 species
AUUGAACGCUGGCGGCAUGCCUUACACAUGCAAGUCGAACGGCAGCACGGGAGCAAUCCUGGUGGCGAGUGGCGAACGGGCGAGUAAAGUAUCGGAACGUGCCCAGUCGUGGGGGAUAACGUAGCGAAAGUUACGCUAAUACCGCACACGAUCUAUGGAUGAAAGCGGGGGAUCGCAAGACGUCGCGCAAUUGGAGCGGCUGAUAUCAGAUUAGGUAGUUGGUGGGGUAAAGGCUCACCAAGCCGACGAUAUGUAGCUGGUCUGAGAGGACGACCAGCCACACUGGGACUGAGACACGGCCCAGACUACUACGGGAGGCAGCAGUGGGGAAUUUUGGACAAUGGGCGAAAGCCUGAUCCAGCCAUGCCGCGUGCAGGAUGAAGGCCUUCGGGUUGUAAACUGCUUUUGUACGGAACGAAAAGGUUUGGCCUAAUAAGCUGAGCUCAUGACGGUACCGUAAGAAUAAGCACCGGCUAACUACGUGCCAGCCGCCGCCGUAA